ensembl:lncRNA
AUGUGUACUUCUCCCAUUGGUCGUCUGAUAGGGAACAGACUAGUAGUGUCAGAAGGUCGUCUGAUAGGGAACAGACUAGUAGUGUCAGAAGGUCGUCUGAUAGGGAACAGACUAGUUGUGUCAGAAGGUCGUCUGAUAGGGAACAGACUAGUAGUGUCAGAAGGUCGUCUGAUAGGGAACAGACUAGUAGUGUCAGAAGGUCGUCUGAUAGGGAACAGACUAGUAGUGUCAGAAGGUCGUCUGAUAGGGAACAGACUAGUAGUGUCAGAAGGUCGUCUGAUAGGGAACAGACUAGUAGUGUCAGAAGGUCGUCUGAUAGGGAACAGACUAGUAGUGUCAGAAGGUCGUCUGAUAGGGAACAGACUAGUAGUGUCAGAAGGUCAUCUGAUAGGGAACAGACUAGUAGUGUCAGAAGGUCAUCUGAUAGGGAACAGACUAGUAAUGUCAGAAGGUCAUCUGAUAGGGAACAGACUAGUAGUGUCAGAAGGUUGUCUGAUAGGGAACAGACUAGUAGUGUCAGAAGGUCAUCUGAUAGGGAACAGACUAGUAGUGUCAGAAGGUCAUCUGAUAGGGAGCAGACUAGUAGUGUCAGAAGGUCAUCUGAUAGGGAACAGACUAGUAGUGUCAGAAGGUCGUCUGAUAGGGAACAGACUAGUAGUGUCAGAAGGUCAUCUGAUAGGGAACAGACUAGUAGUGUCAGAAGGUCAUCUGAUAGGGAACAGACUAGUAAUGUCAGAAGGUCAUCUGAUAGGGAACAGACUAGUAGUGUCAGAAGGUCGUCUGAUAGGGAACAGACUAGUAAUGUCAGAAGGUCAUCUGAUAGAAAACAGACUAGUAGUGUCAGAAGGUCGUCUGAUAGGGAACAGACUAGUAAUGUCAGAAGGUCAUCUGAUAGAAAACAGACUAGUAGUGUCAGAAGGUCGUCUGAUAGGGAACAGACUAGUAGUGUCAGAAGGUCGUCUGAUAGGGAACAGACUAGUAGUGUCAGAAGGUCGUCUGAUAGGGAACAGACUAGUAAUGUCAGAAGGUCAUCUGAUAGAAAACAGACUAGUAGUGUCAGAAGGUCAUCUGAUAGGGAACAGACUAGUAGUGUCAGAAGGUCAUCUGAUAGGGAACAGACUAGUAGUGUCAGAAGGUCACCUGAUAGGGAACAGACUAGUAGUGUCAGAAGGUCAUCUGAUAGGGAACAGACUAGUAGUGUCAGAAGGUCGUCUGAUAGGGAACAGACUAGUAGUGUCAGAAGGUCGUCUGAUAGGGAACAGACUAGUAGUGUCAGAAGGUCAUCUGAUAGGGAACAGACUAGUAGUGUCGGAAGGUCAUCUGAUAGGGAACAGACUAGUAGUGUCAGAAGGUCAUCUGAUAGGGAACAGACUAGUAGUGUCAGAAGGUCGUCUGAUAGGGAACAGACUAGUAGUGUCAGAAGGUCAUCUGAUAGGGAACAGACUAGUAGUGUCAGAAGGUCAUCUGAUAGGGAACAGACUAGUAGUGUCAGAAGGUCAUCUGAUAGGGAACAGACUAGUAGUGUCGGAAGGUCAUCUGAUAGGGAACAGACUAGUAGUGUCAGAAGGUCAUCUGAUAGGGAACAGACUAGUAGUGUCGGAAGGUCAUCUGAUAGGGAACAGACUAGUAGUGUCAGAAGGUCAUCUGAUAGGGAACAGACUAGUAGUGUCGGAAGGUCAUCUGAUAGGGAACAGACUAGUAGUGUCGGAAGGUCAUCUGAUAGGGAACAGACUAGUAAUGUCGGAAGGUCAUCUGAUAGGGAACAGACUAGUAGUGUCGGAAGGUCAUCUGAUAGGGAACAGACUAGUAGUGUCGGAAGGUCAUCUGAUAGGGAACAGACUAGUAGUGUCAUCUGAUAGGGAACAGACUAGUAGUGUCAUCUGA